CAGUGGCGGCGACCGCAGCGGCUGGAGCCAGAGAAGGAGGCGGAGGCAGCGGCGGCCGCGAGGGGAGGGGGAGACCCGUCUGACUGAGACGGCAGGCCUGGGCGGGGGUGCCGCGCAGGGCGGAGCGCCGGGCUGGGGAUGAGCUAAGCGGGCUCAGGGCGCCGCGGCAGUCAGCCCCUCGUGUCCCGCCGCCGCUCGUGAGGGGACGGGGCACCCCUCUCCAAGCUCGACCCGCUGCUGGCGCGGGAGCCAGCCGUGAGUAUUAUAUCUCAAACUCUGAGGCUUGCAGAAUUCAGAAAUUGAGAUCUGGCAACAUUUUCAAAGAGAGACCUUCAGUAAUGUAAUUAGCCUAGGUAGCAAAUGCUUAUUAACUACUUUGACCUAAUGAAGUGAUAGAGGAAGUAAAAAAGAUUCUGAAUUGAUUGGGCAGAGAUUGAAAGGGAGAAAAACAGUCUCCAUUAGUUGCUG